rnacentral:lncRNA from 10 species
UGGAUGAGGCUCACCCCGGCGGGGAGAAGGGACGAGGAGGGGCGGACAGCGGAAGGUCCGGGAGUGUCCGCCAUAAAGUCGUUUGAGGUGACCGUUGCGUAAUUGUGAGUCUGUGAGAGAAGAUGUGAAGUAUGGCCUCGUCCCGGUCAUCUGGGCGUGCGGGUCCCGGGUUUUGAUCGCGCGUUUGUCUGAGUCAUUGAAAGCAGCCAGCUACAAACAGACACAUUCCAGGCAGUGGAGAAAGAGGAGAAAAAUGCCCCCUAACUUCUCAUCAGAAAAACAAAGGCCUAAUGAAAAUGGAAAGUUGUCUUUAAAGUGCUGAAGGGGGAAAAAAAACCUUCAUGCUAAAUAUGCUUCACGUAUGAGGAUGAACUCAAGUUUUAACUUCUAGUCAUGGCGAAUGAUCGCAGGAGAGCACAGACUGGACCCUGCUACGAUCUCUCUUGGAGUGGAUCAGACUGAUGAUCACCAACAACCAACUCAUUCCCGGAUAAGGAAGAAGAGAGUGUCACCUACUUCAGUGUGGUUUCAACCC